rnacentral:rRNA from 1 species
GUACACUCCUGCGGGAGGCAGCAGUGGGGAAUAUUGGACAAUGGGCGCAAGCCUGAUCCAGCCAUGCCGCGUGAGUGAUGAAGGCCCUAGGGUUGUAAAGCUCUUUCACCGGUGAAGAUAAUGACGGUAACCGGAGAAGAAGCCCCGGCUAACUUCGUGCCAGCAGCCGCGGUAAUACGAAGGGGGCUAGCGUUGUUCGGAUUUACUGGGCGUAAAGCGCACGUAGGCGGACUAUUAAGUCAGGGGUGAAAUCCCGGGGCUCAACCCCGGAACUGCCUUUGAUACUGGUAGUCUUGAGUUCGAGAGAGGUGAGUGGAAUUCCGAGGGUAGAGGUGAAAUUCGUAGAUAUUCGGAGGAACACCAGUGGCGAAGGCGGCUCACUGGCUCGAUACUGACGCUGAGGUGCGAAAGCGUGGGGAGCAAACAGGAUUAGAUACCCUAGUAGUCCCA